AUUGAACGCUGGCGGCAUGCCUUACACAUGCAAGUCGAACGGUAACGCGGGCAACCUGGCGACGAGUGGCGAACGGGUGAGUAAUGCAUCGGAACGUGCCUGGUAGUGGGGGAUAACUGCUCGAAAGAGCAGCUAAUACCGCAUACGACCUGAGGGUGAAAGGGGGGGAUCGCAAGACCUCUCGCUAUCAGAGCGGCCGAUGUCGGAUUAGCUAGUUGGUGGGGUAAAGGCCCACCAAGGCAACGAUCCGUAGCUGGUCUGAGAGGACGACCAGCCACACGGGGACUGAGACACGGCCCAGACGCCGACGGGAGGCAGCAGUGGGGAAUUUUGGACAAUGGACGCAAGUCUGAUCCAGCAAUGCCGCGUGCGGGAAGAAGGCCUUCGGGUUGUAAACCGCUUUUGUUAGGGAAGAAAUUCUCCGGGCUAAUACCCAAGGGGGAUGACGGUACCUAAAGAAUAAGCACCGGCUAACUACGUGCCAGCCGCCGGCGUAA
rnacentral:rRNA from 1 species